rnacentral:rRNA from 1 species
UGCGUAGGCGGUUUUCUAAGUUUGGUGUGAAAUCUCCCGGCUCAACUGGGAGGGUGCGCCGAAAACUGGAAGGCUAGAGUAUGGGAGAGGUAAGCGGAAUUCCUGGUGUAGCGGUGAAAUGCGUAGAUAUCAGGAGGAACACCUGCGGUGUAGACGGCUUACUGGACCAUAACUGACGCUGAGGCACGAAAGCGUGGGUAGCAAACA